UGCUUUGGACUGUUGUGAAACCGAGGUAGUCUUCAAGCUCCCUCCAUGUGGCUCUGGAAGCUGUCCCGUGGUACACUGUAAACACAGAAUGUCGCCCGCCCAGAGGCCCACGUGCUGAAUGCUUGGUCACCAGGACAGCAACAUUCAGAAAUGAGAGCACAGAGAGCUGACUGGUUCAGGACGGUUCUGAAUUCGUUGGCAGAUGAGUUCAUGAGGUCAUCCUGUUCCGGGUUGUCCUUCGAAAAGCGGACUAGAACACUGCCCUGGAACACCCAAGCAAGGCCUCCUGGACCGACACAUGGAUCAAGUUUCUCUGCCCCCCUCAAACCCCCAAGCUUCAGCAAACAAGACAACCCCGCCUUCUCUUUGCUGCCAAAAUGCAGUGUGAGACUCUUAUGAACUAUUAAACGGAAUCCACCCAUGCAGAUCAAAUUCAAGGUA